rnacentral:rRNA from 1 species
CAGCCGCACGGUAAUACGGAGGGUGCAAGCGUUAAUCGGAAUUACUGGGCGUAAAGCGUGCGUAGGCGGUUCGCUAAGUCUGUUGUGAAAGCCCCGGGCUCAACCUGGGAAUGGCAAUGGAUACUGGCGAGCUAGAGUGUGUCAGAGGAUGGUGGAAUUCCCGGUGUAGCGGUGAAAUGCGUAGAGAUCGGGAGGAACAUCAGUGGCGAAGGCGGCCAUCUGGGACAACACUGACGCUGAGGCACGAAAGCGUGGGGAGCAAACAGGAUUAGAUACCCCUGUAGUCCCUGUCUCUUAUACA